CUUUUGAUCCGCCCUUUCAUCUUGAGUUCACCAUUUCACGGUAACGAAUGACUGAAAGUGAAGCGGUGAGACUACUAAAUUCGUUAAUGGAGGACGAUGGAGGUAGACGUUGGACAGUAAAGGCAAGAACACAAUACAUGGACACUAGAAAAUAUAUAAAACUCAAAGAGCCAUGCUUUUUGGAGUUUGUCACUGAAGCAAAAAAAGCAUUUGCCAUUCGAGAACAGACACCUGUUAAGGUAACAGAUGACACCUCUACAGAAGUGGACGAGGAUGUAUUUCCUGAACUUGUUGCUGAAAGGGGCAUUUGCUUUAGUUUACAUACUAAUAAUGAUUCCACUUCUGCACAUAAGUUGUCCCCUCUUCUGACUGAUGGGAACUCUGUCAGCAAG